UUCCUCUCAGGGUUGCACCUGGUGAGUUUCCAGUACUCUACCAAUCUCAACUACCGGAGGGAGAGUCAAGCAGAGGCAUACCCAUUCCAAUCCUAGCUUGGCCAGUGGAUAGUGAACGGAAGGCAAUCUGCUACAAGU